GAUGAACGCUGGCGGCGUGCUUAACACAUGCAGGUCGAGCGAAGCACUUAUCAUUGACUCUUCGGAGGAUUUGAUAUUUGACUGAGCGGCGGACGGGUGAGUAACGCGUGGGUAACCUGCCUCAUACAGGGGAAUAACAGUUAGAAAUGGCUGCUAAUGCCGCAUAAGCGCACAGGACCGCAUGGUCUGGUGUGAAAAACUGAGGUGGUAUGAGAUGGACCCGCGUCUGAUUAGGUAGUUGGUGGGGUAACGGCCUACCAAGCCGACGAUCAGUAGCCGGCCUGAGAGGGUGAACGGCCACAUUGGGACUGAGACACGGCCCAGACUCCUACGGGAGGCAGCAGUGGGGAAUAUUGCACAAUGGGGGAAACCCUGAUGCAGCGACGCCGCGUGAAGGAAGAAGUAUCUCGGUAUGUAAACUUCUAUCAGCAGGGAAGAAAAUGACGGUAC
rnacentral:rRNA from 1 species